rnacentral:rRNA from 1 species
UACGGAGGGUCCAAGCGUUGUCCGGAAUUAUUGGGCGUAAAGAGCGCGUAGGCGGUGUGUCGCGUCGGAUGUGAAAGCCCGGGGCUUAACCCCGGGUCUGCAUUCGGUACUGGCAUGCUGGAGUUCGGUAGGGGAGACUGGAAUUCCUGGUGUAGCGGUGAAAUGCGCAGAUAUCAGGAGGAACACCGGUGGCGAAGGCGGGUCUCUGGGCCGAUACUGACGCUGAGGAGCGAAAGCGUGGGGAGCGAACAGG